GAAAUGCUGCACAGAACAAAGAAAUACUAAGUAUAGGUCUACGACUCAAAUGGUUCAGACAUUCAGACGGGGAUGCUGCUUCCUUACUCUCAUUUGAGUUUGGGAACCAGUUCCUGAAGUUAAUCCUUCAAUGUUUCUUCAAAUAAAUCACAUGGGCAGUCUCUGGGUGCCUUUGCGCACGGAGAGAUGGCAGAGCAGGUGCCUAAGCCAGUGCUGUUUGUGUAUCUGGGUAACAUCUGUUGGUCACCCAUUGCAGAAGCAGUUUUCAGAUCAAAACAUUUCAAAGGCAUGGGCAUGGUGGCUCUCGCCUGUAAUCCCAGCACUUUGGGAGGCCGAGGCGGGCAGAUCACCUGAGGUCAGGAGUUUGAGACCAGUCUGACCAACAUGAUGAAACCCCAUCUCUAUUAAAAAUACAAAAAUUAGCUGGGUAUGGUGGCAUUUACCUGUAAUCCAGCUAUGUGGGAGGCUGAGGCAGGAGAAUCAGUUGAACCUGGGAGGCGGAGGUUGACUGAGUCAAGAUUGCGCCACUGCACUCCAGCCUGGGCGACAGAGCAAGACUCUGGCUCAAAAAAAAAAAAAAAAAAAGAAAGCCAAAAAACAUUUCAGAGAAUUGGAGGGUAGACAGCACGGUGACAUCUGGGUAUGAGAUAGGGAAUCCCCUGACUACUGAGGGCACAGCUGCAUGAAGAGGCACGACAUUCCCAUGAGCCACGUUGCCCAGCAGAGAUAGGAAUAGAAAAAGCAAUCAAGUUAAAAGCUGCAAAGCUAAAAUUGAACUACUUGAGAGCUGUGAUCCACAAAACUAACAUUAAUGCAGAUCCUUAUUAUGGAAAUGGCUGCCUUUUGAGACGGUGUACCAGCAGUGUGUCAGGUGCCGCAGAACGUUCUUGGGGGAAGCCCACCGAGGCUGGUCUGUACCCUGCUGCGGCCAACCUGACAAGACCCCAGCCUUUGGCUCUGCAUCUCUCAGUGGACAAGCUAAAGUGUAAUAGUGUUCCACAGCCCAAGGUCCUAGCUCUUUCUUCACUGACUUACUGUUUCUUACCUUAAAAAAUAAUUGCAGAUGGAAAUCAGUUGUGUUUGGCAGAAGACUAAAAAUCAUUGAUUCAGACAGUUUCUGGGGUAUAUUAAGUGUUCUUAGAUUAGUUGAGCCUCUCACUUUGUCCCAAUUACAAAAAUAGUGGAACAAACAACAUAAAACAACAAAACAAAACACAAUGGAGUAAAACCUCCCUUGAAGGCCCAGGUCAGUAUCUAAGCCCACUAAGACUUAAGAUAAUUGGGUCUGCCUCUUCAGUGGGUUUGAUGAUGGCUGGAGGACAGGCACCCUCUGCUUCCUGCACUACCUUCAUCUUUUUGCCCUAGGGCUUUUUAUGGAGUGACAAUAGCUCCGCCCAUAGGAGCUCACAGUCUAGAAUCGUUUUAAUUCACACACACCCACAGUGCACACUUGUAUAUUUAAAAGAUAGGGAAGAAGCUGUGUGGGUGGCUCAUGCCUGUAAUCCCAGCACUUUGGGAGGCCGAGGCGGGUGGAUCACUUGAGGCCAGGAGCUGGAGACCAGCCUGGCCAACAUGGUGAAACCCUGUCUCUGCUAAAAAUACAAAAAUUAGCUGGGCAUGGUGGCACGCAUCGAUACUCCCAGCUACUGGAGGUUGACGCAGAAUUGCUUGAACCUGGGAGGUGGAGGCUGCAGUGAGCCAAGAUUGGACCACUGUACUCCAGCCUGGGCGACAGAGUGAGACCCUGUCUCAAAAUAAAAAAUAAAAAAAA
ensembl:lncRNA